CCUACGGGUGGCAGCAGUGAGGAAUAUUGGUCAAUGGGCGCAAGCCUGAACCAGCCAAGUCGCGUGAGGGAUGACGGUCCUAUGGAUUGUAAACCUCUUUUGUCGGGGAGCAAGGCACGCCACGUGGGGCGGGAAGGAGAGGAACCGAAGAAAAAGCAGCGGCGAACUCCGUGCCAGCAGCCGCGGUAAUACGGAGGAUGCGAGCGUUAGCGGGAUUGAUUGGGUUGACAGGGUGCGUAGGCGGAAGGUUAAGUCAGCGGUCAAAUGUCGGGGCUCAACACCGGCCUGCCGUGGAAACUGGUCUUCUUGAGUGAGCGAGAAGUCUGCGGCAUGCGUGGUGUAGCGGUUACAUGCAUCGCUAUCCCGCAGAACUCCGAUUGCGAAGGCAGCAUACCGGCGCUCACCUGACGCUGAGGCACGAAAGCGUGGGGAUCGAACAGGAUUAGAUACCCGUGUAGUC
rnacentral:rRNA from 1 species